GAUCAUGGCUCAGGAUGAACGCUAGCGGCAGGCUUAACACAUGCAAGUCGAGGGGCAGCAUAAUGGAUAGCAAUAUCUAUGGUGGCGACCGGCGCACGGGUGCGUAACGCGUAUGCAACCUACCUUUAACNGGGGGAUAACACUGAGAAAUUGGUACUAAUACCCCCAUAAUAUCAUAGACGGCAUCUUUUAUGGUUGAAAUUCCGAUGGUUAGAGAUGGGCAUGCGUUG
rnacentral:rRNA from 1 species